AACUGCUGAAGACAAAAAAGAAAGAUUGCUACACGGAUAAAAAAACGGAGAAAGAGAGACUGAGAGACCGAGAGAAAAGAGAGACAGAGAAAUAGAGAAGCAGAGAACGGAGGAGAGAGAGAUCGAGAGAUCAAAAACUGCACUCUCUAAAAACUGAAACCCAAAACACACAAUCAUCCAUUCUUUCCAUUUGUUAACACAAACGGCCCAAAAGAAAAGAUUUUCCCUACCGAUGAAAAAGAAAAAACAGAAGCCCAUUGAAAGAUUGCUUCACGGAGAAAGGAGAGAGCGAUCGAGAGAAAAGAGAGACAGAGAAAUAGAGAGGCAGAGAUAGAGAGAAGGGUGCCAACAAAUCUUCUGCCAUCAUUGUAAGGGCGCCUACCUUGCGAUACAGAGAUGAGAAGGAGACAGAUAUUGAGAGAACUACCACCGUUGCAGAAUACCGUUUCCCUGUGCCGGAUAAAGACAUUGGGACUUCUGCAAUAAAAGAAUUAAAAGGUGGAGUUGUCCAAAUCUCUAGGUAAUUGGCAGUGAUCUUGAGUCCCUAACAUUAGUCAGGUAAAAUGUGUAGGGACAUAACUAGAAGUCUAGGGUAGUGUGUUUGAUACAUGUGCAGAGGCAUAUGUGUUCAUGACUUUUGCUGGAUGUUAAAAGAAGCUACAUGAUUUCCUAUGUAGAUACAAGUAGCUUUCCAUCUUGGGCUUAACAUUUGGAAAGUCCAAAAUUAACUUUGUUAUGCAUGAUGGAUAUAUUCCGGUCCAUGUCCUGAAAUUAGUGCUUAUAAUGACACACACAUUUUCUAAUACAAAUAGAUCAACCACCAACAUUUCCCCUAUACUUCUCUCUAAUUGCAGAUGGCAAUUAAUAAGAGUAAAUUUAUAAUUGGUGGUUCAGCGAAAUCCCACAAAUCAAAUGAAUGAGUUAUCAUACUUCAGAUCUUCUUAAAGUGGCUUUCUUGGAUAGAAUACCUUUAUGGACCUAAUAUACAUAGUCAGUAAUCUCCAGACCAAGAACAAUCAAUUCCCAGAGUUGCAGAACUCUAUAAUCACUAUGAAUGGCAAUAGAGUAAAAACUAAUAUUACACAAUCAUAUAUAACUAUACGCACCAUAACUGCCACACAAAAAAAAAAAAAAAAAAAAAAAAAACCUAAGUGUCAAGCUUCUAUUAUGUAUAGCUUCUAUUAUGUAUGGCUACAGUAGGUGAGGUUAAGUAGUGUAUUAACAGUUGCUCAUAAUUUUGCAAGAAGUGUAACCCAACAGUUGCCUCCUUUAACUAAAGAAAUUUCACCUCUUGGCCAAAUUUCUGGAGCUCUUUGACAUAAGAAAAAAACAAAUUCCUUUUGUUUUAUGCCUUUUAUCUAUUUUUUACUGCCUCUUCUCUUCCCUUCUCAAAAUUUUCAUCUGCCAAGCUCUUAUAUAACUAGAACAGAAAAUUAUCAAUCUUUGAACUUUUUUUUUUAAUUAUUUAAUAUCACCUUGGUUGGAUAAUGGUCCUCAAAGACUUGAAGAAAUUUCCAAUAAUCACAUUUUCGGCACCUAUCUCACUUCAGUCAAUUGUGCAUCAAGUGUUUCUCAAGAUGGAAGGUUGGCAUGCCUAUCCAUUGAAGGUUAUCAAGGUUAGUAUUUUAUCCUCUUAAGUUUUGUCAAGCAGCCUAAAAAAUUAGGAUUAUUAGCAUAUAACAUUCUUUGAAUAUGUUUGAAAAAAUUACUACCAAAUUUUGUCACUACCAUUACUUUUCUUGACUAAUAUGAAUUUUUUUAUGAAUUGAUUUGUCCUCCAACAUGAAUCAUGAUUGCAAUAAAGUUGAUUUAUGAAUGAAAAUUCAUAGUCUCCUUUUUAAAAUUUUCUUUCAGGCUUUACUAUGGCGUUUGAUUACUACAAAGGCAAUGCUUCAAUAAUUGAUGAUGUAUUUCCAACACUUGGAUUAAAAAUUCAUGGUGACAAAAAUGUCCCUUAUGUGGGACAUUUUUAGGGUAUUAGUUCUUGGCAGGAAUUCAAUGAAUUCUAGAGAAAUACAUAAUGAGAGUUCCAAGUAGAAGACUUGGUCUUGGUGCCAAAGAAUAUAUUUCUCAGUGUGUUUGGCCAAAGAAAAUGUAUAUUAGAAGCUUCAAGGAUGAUGAGAACUCAUUAUAAAUGAAUUAUUACACUUUUGUUAAGAAGUUGAACAAUGGUGAGACAUCACCCUUUCAUUCUCUUUAUAAAGAUGUUUGUGGUUAAGCAAAAAUAUCUUCCUUCUAAACUCUAUUCCAUAGUGAUACAAUGAUUGGAAAAUUAUGCGCUGGGCAUAAUUUUUGGUGGUUUGCAUACAAGACUUUACUACUCUUAGGAGCACUAUUGGGCAUAUUUGUUAAAACAUCAAUACCAUGUAGCUCCUUGACAAUUAGUAUCUUUGUUGUAGCUAGCUGAUAAUAUUCAAUAAUUACAUUGAGGAAUGUACUUCAUAAUGAUUUGGAAAUUUAAGGAUGAUUUUUUUGCCUCAUGUUGAUGAAAUAUUUAGUUUUGGUAUCUAUUUCUCAAACCAUUUAUUGCUAUAUAGGAGUUAGGUUUCUUCUAGGAAAAAAAAAGAGGAUUUAGUUUAGUACUCACAAACCAAUCCAAUUACAUGCUCGCUCUCUUUCAAAGGAUGUGAAAUUAAUAAUUGUGCAUAUAACUUAACAAAAAUAAUUAAAUAAUCGUGAAUUCACCUAUGCAACACAUACAUAUCAUUAAGUAAAUAUAUGAUAAGUGAACCUAAUUAAGUAAAUGUUUUACCACGUGUCAUAAAAAUUAGAUAAACUCAUAAUAUUCAAACUUAGUUAUCAUAAACUUAGUUACUUAUUCUAAUUAUGAAUUAUUGUUUGUCGAAGUUACUUAUAUAAGCUUCUACCCAAAAAAAAAAAAAAAAAAAACCUAUUAUUUUUCUUGAAUAAUAAAUUCUUGGAGUAAAAAGACACUUUCUUUUUACUUGAGUGUUGUGGUAAAGGAAUAUUAUAUUUUUUUCCUAAGAGAUCUAUUUAAAAUUUUGUUGAAACGGGCACAAAUUUCAAGAUUAGAUUUUGAAAUCUCUAUAAAAAAAACUCCUUGAAUUUAGUUUUUUAUUUUUCUUGCAAGUAAUUAUUUGCCUUUUUUGUAUUAUCUUAAUAUAAAAUGUUUAAAUUUUCAGUAACCAUAUGUCUUUUUUAAUAAAUAAAAGUAUCCCGCACAUUGUGCGGGUUAUAUGCUAGUAUAUAUAAUAGCAGAAAUGGAGAGAAAGUGAGUUCCUACAUUACAUUUAAGGAGAGGGUGACAAAUAGGAAAAAAGACUCCUUUAAAAACUGACACAUACACAACUUUAAGUUAAAAUACUCGCACGGUACACCGUUUCAGUAUUCUAAAGAUUUUGACUUUUACUUCUACGGCCUUUGAAAGCCUCUCCGCUGUUUCCAUUUGUUUUGCAAGGGUAAGACCGUCUGACAGUGAUAGUGUAUAUUUUAAAAUAAAAAAGGGGUUAAAAAUAAGAUUAAAAAAAACGUCACAACUAAAAAAAUCUAGCCCCUUCACAUCAGUCUUCUUAACAUUUUCUCUCUCUAAAAAAACCCUGGCGAUACUGUGAUAGAGAGAAAGAGUAGGAGAAAAAAAAAAAAAAAAAAAGAGAGAGAGAGAAAUAGAGAGGCAGAGAACGGAGAAGGAGAGAGAGAUCGAGAGAUCAAAAACUGCAGUUUGCAAACAAGAAUGGAAAGAUGUCUCUCACUUCCUGUCAAAUUUCUUCAUCUAACUGUCCGCUAAUUUCUUUCCCUGGAAUAAGAAGAAGUAAGGAAGAUGAAGCGUCAAGAACGAAGAGGAGUCAAGAAUGAAAUAGAGGGGCAGAGAUGGAGAGAAGGGCGCCACCCAGAUCUUCGGCCAUCACCGUAAGCCUCCACUCACUACCCGACUAUCGGAAUCGGAAUCACUACUGAUUCGGUUUUGAUUAAGGGAUACGGACAUAGAAGAAGCAAGCAGAGUUUGUAGGCGCCAAGAGAGAAGAAAUAUCUAUGGCUGGCCAUUGCCUGUUCCCUCGCUAGACUUGGGCCAUCGGAACCGCAAGCACACAUGAAGGAAAAACUAUGACCAUACUCCACCCAGAUCGUCGGAAUUGGCACCGGUCUUUCUGCCGGAACAUCAUACACCCAGAUAGAAUCCGUAAGGCACAGAGAGACAGGCCGCCGUAUACCUAUAACCGGUGGUGUGUACAUGGGAAAAAGGGAUUUUGACUCUGAUAUAGAAUGCUUCAGAUUUUUUCUAAAUCUGGUGUUAUUAAUGGCAAGGCACUGUUGACAGGCUUGAUUGUUCUGUUUCUAAACAUAAUAAUAGCUGUUUGUUCAGGAGGCAUUCUAUACUGUUGGUAUUGGAGUUUGGAUAAGGAAUGCAACUGAUGUCUAUUUUUCUUAAAUGGCACUCUGUUUUUGUUAGAGAGGUUCUGAGGGUCCCAUGGUCUAGAUUUUUGAUGAUUAUGUGGAAAUACGAUAUUGUUUUCUCUACAAGAUUCCAGAAAUUAUCAUGUAGCUUUUUAUUUCUGCUGUUGCACUUGAUGUGAUUAAUCAGUGCUUACCUUUGGAAUCC